CCCACUAACUGGACGAAAUGGUUAAUUCUAUCUCCCACUUCUGUCCCUUCCUUUCUCAAUUCUCACUUACGCUUCUCUGCUGCUAAAUUCUCUUCCCGAAAUUGCUGGAUCCUCCACAACUUUGUGUCACUUUAGAGGCAAACAAUUAAAACAAUAAAUUCUCUUCUCGAGACACUGGUGUGCUCAAAGUGAUUGAGGCUUCUCAUCUCCAAUAAGUUUGGGUUUGAUUGCCUUUGUCUUCUCAGUUAUGGUUCCUAUGUUCUUUCGGAUAGUCUUAUUGGAUUUUCACAUUCAUUUGGGUUGCUUUAUUCGAUUUAUACGCUGAUGUACCGAGAGGUAUUUGAUAACAUGUCUAAAUGAACUGACCGCAUGUGGGGGAACUAUCUGCAAUCUUUUUCCCUUUCCAAUAGUGGUGUAAAUUCAGAUUUUGUAAAAAAAUAAACAUGCUUCUAAGUUCUGACUAUCUUAUUUGCCUCUGAAUGACAUUUUAAAAAUUUAUAUUGGGAAACUAUGUUUAUAUUCUUCAUGAAUAAAGGAUUAUGCUGUGUUUGGGUAAGAGACAAUCAUUGGAAAUAAUUUCAUACAAAUCCCUUUGAUUUAAUUGGUACUUCUUUGACAAAUCUAUCUGAAAUAGCCCCGUCUCUCAUCAAAAUUAAAGUGUCUGUGGCUAAAGCAUAUACAUCGAGAGAGCAUUAGCAGACCAUGCCAUCUAAAAAUUACUACUUUUUACAUGAUACUCGAGGAAAACAAACUGCAGACACUUUAGACGUAAACAAACUACCUAAAUACAAAAGCUUAAGUGAAAAACAAAAAACAUAUCCAAAUAUUAACAUCACUUUACAGGUAUUGAUAAACUCUACAUGAUGUCCCUCUUUAGCAAAAAGAUGAUGAAAAUUUUAAUCAACUGAAUUCUAAAUUUUUAGUUAAAAGCUGUAGGAACCCAAAUGAUUAAAAAAAGAAUAAAGAAAAAGGGUUUAAAAAAAUAAAUAAUAAGUACUCUUAAAGUAAAUUGAGCCGGAAAUCCGUGAGAUUCUUUUCUAUUGUGAAUUGAGAUUUAUUACACUUACCAUCCAAAGUUAUAUGAGAUUUUUCAGACUGUUGAAUACAUUUAAUCAAUGUAAUCAAGCAAAAUAUUUGGGAUUUUGUUCUUUGAUUAUCUGUUAGCAAUUGUAUCCGCUUGCUUUCGUUACCUUAUGCUCCACUAUUGAUUGUUGUAUGGAGGUUUAUUUGAGUAUUGAGAUGUAUCCCGUUAAAUGAUUGUAUAUUUCAUAUGAACUUCGGUAGGAAGAUAUCCAUACUCAUAACUCUAAACUCAUUUUUUGAUGUGUGGAGGCUUUAUCGUUCAUAUUAUGAUGUCCUUCUUCAUUAGUAAAGAUCAGUAUUUACUUUGUUCUAUUCCACUAUGCAUUCAUGACCUUAUUCAGAUUGACAUAUCGUAUAUACGCUUCAUAAGUAUUGCCAUUUCUGAUGAUCAUGCCUCCAUUUAAGAUAUAAUAAAUUACUAUCUUUCAAGCAAUGGAAGUUGAAAUCAGUCCCGCAAGUAAGGUUUUACAUUUGAAUGAAAACCUGAACAUGAGGUCCAACUCUCUAUUUUUGGUAUUCAUUUGAUGCUGCUGGAAUCUGCUCUAAGGAAAAAAAAAGAGAAGAAAAAUCAGUAUUAGCAUAGCACUUGAGAAUUAUCUUUUGUUCACUUAGAAAACACUGGUGACAUCUUAUUUUCUCAAUAGUUUGGUCAAUUAGAUACACAUGUAGUUGUAAUGCAUUUGAAUUGUAUUCUAAGAUCCUCUUAUUUUUUUCCCAUGUCGUUCUGGCAGAUUUUCCUGUGGACUGUACCUUCAAUUCACCAUGGGUUGGUUGGCAUGUGUAUUUGGUCGAACAAGGUAUUUCCAUGUUCGAAUAUAUGGCCUUACAUCUAAAUCUAAGAGCCAUCCCCAAGGGCUUUCUCACUAGAACUUAUCCUUGCAAGGCUAUUAGACUUCUGAUCCAACUAACCGGAAAAAGCAUAGCAGGUUGCCAAGCUACUACAUUGAGUUAUGGGAACACUAAUGAGCCGAAAGUUACUCUACUCUCAAAGCUAUACAAAAAUUGUGCACUUCAUGGAGCCACAAGAUUGGAACAUGACUAACUGAGUUUUUGUUUUGGCAAUAGUUCAGUGCAAGCUAUUUGUAGGCCAUCAUUAUAACCGUUUACUUUGAGGAGUUGAGUUUUGUACCUUUAAAUUCACAAUGAAAUAGCAAAAACUAGAGUUAGGCCUUCUUUUCUGGCUUUUUGACACUUGUGGAGCUUAGAGUUUUGGAUGUCCAUUACUCUAGAAGAGAACUAUUUUGAGACAUACUGACCAUAAUAACUUCAUAAAACUGAAAAAAUUGUGUAACUGGAACUGGGAUAAGUUGCUAUGUCGUAAUUAUAAAGCAAAGAUCUCAACUGUUUA